rnacentral:pre_miRNA from 1 species
GUUGUACUCCCUUCAUCCGAAAAUAUUUAUUCUAAAGAUGAAUGUAUCUAGACUUAUUUUAGUUAUAGAUACAUCCAUUAUAUCCAUUUCUAGGACAAGUAUUUCCGGACGGAGGAAGUAUAUG